AUAAUCAAGCCGCUACUCAUUC
rnacentral:siRNA from 1 species